rnacentral:rRNA from 1 species
UACGAAGGGUGCAAGCGUUACUCGGAAUUACUGGGCGUAAAGCGUGCGUAGGUGGUUCGUUAAGUCUGAUGUGAAAGCCCCGGGCUCAACCUGGGAACUGCAUUGGAUACUGGCGAUCUGGAGUGCGGUAGAGGGUGGCGGAAUUCCCGGUGUAGCAGUGAAAUGCGUAGAUAUCGGGAGGAACAUCCGUGGCGAAGGCGGCCACCUGGACCAGCACUGACACUGAGGCACGAAAGCGUGGGGAGCAACAGG